rnacentral:rRNA from 1 species
UACGUAGGUGGCAAGCGUUGUCCGGAUUUACUGGGCGUAAAGGGCGUGCAGGCGGUCUGUUAAGUGCAGGGUGAAAGCUCCCGGCUCAACUGGGAGAGGUCCUUGCAUACUGGCGGACUUGAGGGGGGUAGAGGAAAGUGGAAUUCCCGGUGUAGUGGUGAUAUGCGUAGAUAUCGGGAGGAACACCUGUGGCGAAGGCGGCUUUCUGGGCCCUACCUGACGCUGAGACGCGAAAGCGUGGGGAGCAAACAGGG